rnacentral:rRNA from 1 species
AGCCAGACUCCUACGGGAGGCAGCAGUGAGGAAUAUUGGUCAAUGGGCGGGAGCCUGAACCAGCCAAGUCGCGUGAGGGAAGACGGUCCUACGGAUUGUAAACCUCUUUUGCCGGGGAGCAACGGGGUCCUUGCGAGGGCCCAAUGAGAGUACCCGGAGAAAAAGCAUCGGCUAACUCCGUGCCAGCAGCCGCGGUAAUACGGAGGAUGCGAGCGUUAUCCGGAUUUAUUGGGUUUAAAGGGUGCGUAGGCGGGUCGUUAGGUCGGGGGUAAAAUGGGGGGCCCACCCCCCUGCCCGCCAUUGAAACUGGCGCUCUUGAGUGGAAGAGAAGUAUGCGGAAUGCGUGGUGUAGCGGUGAAAUGCAUAGAUAUCACGCAGAACCCCGAUUGCGAAGGCAGCAUGCCGGCUUCCGACUGACGCUGAAGCACGAAAGCGUGGGGAUCGAACAGGAUUAGAUACCCGUGUAUA